rnacentral:rRNA from 1 species
AACGUAGGAGACAAACGUUAUCCGGAGUUACUGGGCGUAAAGGGCGUGUAGGUGGUUUCGUAAGUCUGGCGUGAAAUUUUUCGGCUUAACCGGGAAAGGUCGUCGGAUACUGCGGAGCUAGAGGACGGUAGAGGCGUGUGGAAUUCCGGGUGUAGUGGUGAAAUGCGUAGAGAUCCGGAGGAACACCAGUGGCGAAGGCGGUGAUCUGGGCCAGUACUGACGCUGAGGAGCGAAAGCGUGGGGAGCAAACAGG